GAUGAACGCUAGCGGCAGGCUUAACACAUGCAAGUCGAGGGGUAUAGGUUUUCGGACCUAGAGACCGGCGCACGGGUGCGUAACGCGUAUGCAAUCUACCUUUCACAGAGGGAUAGCCCAGAGAAAUUUGGAUUAAUACCUCAUAGUAUAGUACAACCGCAUGGUUGAACUAUUAAAGUCACAACGGUAAAAGAUGAGCAUGCGUCCCAUUAGCUUGUUGGUAAGGUAACGUCUUACCAAGGCGACGAUGGGUAGGGGUACUGAGAGGGAGAGCCCCCACACUUGAACUGAGACACGGACCAGACUCCUACGGGAGGCAACAGAGAGGAAUAUUGGUCAAUGGGCGCAAGCCUGAACCAGCCGUGCCGCGUGCAGGAUGACGGUCCUAGGGAUUGUAAACUGCUUUUGUACAGGAAGAAACAGUUCUACGUGUAGAACCUUGACGGUACUGUAAGAAUAAGGAUCGGCUAACUCCGUGCCAGCCGCCGCCGUAAGAC
rnacentral:rRNA from 1 species